GGGGCCUUGCCCAUUGGUAAUUGCUGUAUUGCCCUGGUCACCUCCUCUUCAGUAAUAUUGGAGAGCUCUUGUUGUUGGCAGGGUGUGAAUGAUGGCAAAGGAAUCUCGUUUAGGUAUUGUUGUAUAGCUUUUUUGGGGGGCUAAUGUGUUUGAGCGUCAUCCCCUAGAUUGUAUAGGGAGGUGUAGCAGUCUGCACAUCUUAAUUCAUGGUUUUACUUACAUUUAUGUUGAUAUAACUAUCGCUUUAACAUCCAUUGGAACACUGUUGCAUUCUGUGUGGAAGUAAUAAUCUAAAAUUUUAUAUUUCGCAGAUCAAGCCAACGGUUGAAGAGAGAGCUGGAGAAAAUUAUGCGAUUUUUAAAGUUACAGAGUUUAGAAAACAAUUGGUCAAUGGAGUAAACUAUGAAAUGAAGGUUUCUACUGGCGGAGAUAACUGUGUCUUUCUGAAGGUUUACCAGACCUUUGGUGGAGAAUUGUCUCUCUCUGCUUAUCGGACAAAUAGAAAACUAAACGACCCUUUCGUCUUCUAGACGUGGACAUGUCUGGCCUGCUACAGAAUCUGCCAGACCCAUGAAUUCCAUUCUCCAAACUGUGGAAACUCUUCUGCUUGCUUCUAUUAACUGCACACAUAAGGAGAUAUAUAAUACAAAUAUUGGCACAGAGUGGUAAAUAUCUGUUCACUUUUUAGAACACUAACCCAGAAUUACUUCUCAUUUUUCUUUAAUUCCAAAUAACUCAACAAAGUUCUAAUUAGAAUGUUACCAGGACACAAUGUAAACCAGUACCAACCUACAACGUCUAGGUCCAUUGCUGAUCUAGUACUCAGAACAAGCUUUACUCCUACAAAAUAUUUACAAGGGCAGUGUAACUGUGUCAACAAUAUUGAAGAUCGUUCUACUGAUCAAUACUAGCUUUAGGAAUGGGCAAUUCAUGACGUAUUAUUCCCCAAUAGAUAACGUACUUUCACUGCUUCUGUUACCAUUUAAACCAUUGACCUCUUAUCAGAAUCUGCCAAGAAUGGCCAACAUCUCUAUUGGUCAAUAUAUCCGCACUGGAAGUAGAAUUUGUCUUGUAUCUCUUAUGGUUUUGUAGCACCAGUCAAAAAAUAAAAUACUUUGUAAAAUAAA